GACGAACGCUGGCGGCGUGCCUAACACAUGCAAGUCGAGCGAAUGAAGUUCCUUCGGGAACGGAUUUAGCGGCGGACGGGUGAGUAACACGUGGGCAACCUGCCUCAUAGAGGGGAAUAGCCUUCCGAAAGGGAGAUUAAUACCGUCUAAGAUUGUAGUACCGCAUGGUACAGCAAUUAAAGGAGUAAUCCGGUAUGAGAUGGGCCCGCGGCGCAUUAGCUAGUUGGUGAGGUAACGGCUCACCAAGGCGACGAUGCGUAGCCGACCUGAGAGGGUGAUCGGCCACAUUGGGACUGAGACAUGGCCCAGACUCCUACGGGAGGCAGCAGUGGGGAAUAUUGCACAAUGGGGGAAACCCUGAUGCAGCAACGCCGCGUGAGUGAUGACGGCCUUCGGGUUGUAAAGCUCUGUCUUCAGGGACGAUAAUGACGGUACCUGAGGAGGAAGCCACGGCUAACUACGUGCCAGCAGCCGCCGUAACAC
rnacentral:rRNA from 1 species